AAGCAUGCACUGAGGGGUACUUUGGAUCGAAUUGUUUGCACAAGUGUAAUGAGACAUGUAAGGGGUGUAAUGGAACAAAUGGCGUUUGUGAAAAUGGAUGCCUCCCUGGUUGGAAAGGAUUGUACUGUCAUGAAGAAUGCAACAAAGGAUUCUACGGAAAUGCUUGCAGCAUGAUUUGUGGAAACUGUUUGAACUCUGAACAAUGUCAGCUAAAUAAUGGGACUUGUAUGAAUGGUUGUGAUUUGGGCUAUGAGGGAGCAUUAUGUAAUAAAACAUGUAAGGAUGGAACUUUUGGACAUAACUGCCAAGCUACAUGCACCGAGACAUGUUAUGGAUGUAACAGAAAUAAUGGUAAAUGCGAAAUCGGAUGUCAUCCAGGAUGGAAAGGAUAUUACUGCAAUGAAGAGUGCAUUAAUGGAUUUUUUGGCAAGAAUUGUAGCAAGACAUGUGGGUUUUGUAAACGAAUGGAGGAUUGUCAUCCGACUAAUGGAAUGUGCCUAAAUGGAUGCAUCGCCGGAUAUGAAGGACAAACCUGUAAUAAAACAUGCAGAAACGGAUACUUUGGAGAAGGCUGUGUCCAAGGAUGUAGUGAUGCAUGUAAAGGAUGCAACUGAAGAAAUGGAAUAUGUGAGAAUGGUUGUCAAGCCGGUUGGGAAGGGAAAUUCUGUUCAGAUAAGUGUUUGAAUAACUUUUACGGAGAAGGAUGCAAUGUGAGUUGUGGUCAAUGUUUGAACGGAAAACAAUGUCACCAUAUCAACGGUUCAUGUCAGAGUACAUGUGCACCUGGAUACAGUGGGAAUAAAUGUUAUGAAGUAUGCAGGUUUGGAUAUUUUGGUGAUGAGUGUGCACAGGAGUGCAGUCUCUAUUGCAAAGAAUCACGUGAUUGCCAUCAUGUUUCCGGAAUUUGUCGAGGUGGCUGUAAAAAGGGCUGGCAAGGAAAUGAUUGUAUGAAAGAUGUUAAGGUUAUGCAAAUAACAGAUUCAGUGGGAGACCUCAGGACACAAUUUUAUUCUGCUUUUGGUGUUUGCUGCUUUCUAUUUUUCCUAAUCGGCAUCUUUGUUCUAUACAAAAUGAUCAGAAGGUUAAGGGAAGUCCAUUGCAGUAAAACCGUUUCCGCAAGUACCUCUUCUUCUGGUGGAAAGGAUGCAAAAACCACUUCUAUACCAAUGGUUAAAAAUGACAACUAUAAGGACGAAUAUCAAGAACUUGGGGAUCUCUGCUCGCCUUCCACCUACGACAUGCUACAAUAAUAUUAUUUAAAAUCAUGCUUAAUUGAUUGAUUUUUUUCAAAACUAAUAUUAGUUUUAUAAUAUUAAGUUAGGAUCAAGGAUUAGGUAUUUGAAAAAAAGUAAGUGUAAUUGACCGUAAAAUAAUUACAUUUUUAAAAGUAAUUUUAAGUUAUUUGUAAUUGAACAUUUUUUUUCAAUUUCUUGUUAUUGUAAUUUAAUUAACUACGGUUCCUAAAACCUUCUACUUUCCCAUGCUUCGGUCGCUUACCGUUCGUUCAUCGUUCGUUCAGCGUGCGUUCACCAUUCGUUUAGCGUGCGUUCACUGUUUGCUCUGAGCUCACAGUAUUGUGUUCACCGUUCACAAAACAUUCACCGUUUGCUCUUCGUCCCGUUUACUUUGCGAUCACUUUGCGUUCAGCGUUCACACAUCAAUCACUCAUUGUUCCUUUUAUGU